GGGGUUGUGGCUCAGCGGUAGAGCGUUUGCCUAGCACAUGCAAGGCCCUGGGUUCAAUUCUCAGCACCA
rnacentral:tRNA from 1 species